UACGAAGGGUGCAAACGUUGCUCGGAAUCACUGGGCGUAAAGCGCACGUAGGCGGACUCUUAAGUCGGUGGUGAAAUCCUGGAGCUCAACUCCAGAACUGCCUUCGAUACUGAGAGUCUUGAGUCCGGGAGAGGUGAGUGGAACUGCGAGUGUAGAGGUGAAAUUCGUAGAUAUUCGCAAGAACACCAGUGGCGAAGGCGGCUACCUGGACCGGCUCUGACGCUGAUGCGCGAAAGCGUGGGUAGCAAACAGG
rnacentral:rRNA from 1 species